rnacentral:misc_RNA from 1 species
CGAACUGCGAUAAGUAAUGUGAAUUGCAGAAUUCAGUGAAUCAUCGAAUCUUUGAACGCACAUUGCGCCCGCCAGUAUUCUGGCGGGCAUGCCUGUUCGAGCGUCAUUUCAACCAUCAAGCCCCCGGCUUGUGUUGGGGACCUGCGGCUGCCCGCAGGCCCUGAAAAACAGUGGCGGGCUCGCUGUCACACCGAGCGUAGUAGCAUACAUUCUCGCUCAGGGCGUGCUGCGGGUUCCGGCCGUUAAACGACCUUCAUAACCCAAGGUUGACCUCGGAUCAGGUAGGAAGACCCGCUGAACUUAAGC